ensembl:lncRNA
AAAACAAAAUCAAUGAAAAGCAAAGUCCUAGUUCUUCCUGUAACAGAACUGGGUCUAUAAAAUGCAUGUUGCUUUCUUUUUCUGCAGCUCUUGUGCAAGCAUUAGUGCAGCAUGCAAGUACUUUCCAGGACAGAAGGGAUGUGUGGGCAAUGUUUGCUCACUAGAAUUAUCACCAGUAGCUGUGUCUGCAUAAGAAUACUUUCAAUUGGGCCAGGCACUUUUUUUAUGUGGCUUCUGGCCUAGGAAUAUGGAUGGAGCAUCACGAAUCUUGCCACUGAUCAAAAGACUCGUAUUUCAAAAAAUAGUAGCUUGUAAAUUGCCUAGAGCUAUUGUUGUUUUAAUGUUAUGACUCAGGAAGGCACCCUGUCCCUUCCCAUUUGUCUUUCUGGACUCUGCCCAUUUCUGAGGGACUCCCCACGUGCUGCCACUGAGAGGACUGAGCCACUCCACUGUCCCUGUGGGAUACUGCACACUGCAGAGCACAUGCUUGGAGACAAAGCUGCUACAGCCACGUGGCUGCAUGGCAGCCCAGCAGCGUGGCCAUGGGAAAUCCAAGCUGCCUUGCUGUGCUCUGGAAUCGAGGUUCACUUGACUGUGAAGUGCUAGCUCCUCUAGCUGCUUGAAAUGUCCUUCAAUGACAUGUUUAUGUUCCCGGAGUAUAAGGGCAAAAAGAGUCCUCCCUCAUCCUCACAGCUGCUCAGACAUUUUCUGACUGCUAACAACCACUGAGAAGCUGUUAUAUUUGACAUAGUCUGCUGGAGAAAACCAGUGCUCCCAAGACAGCUGCCUGCCACCCCCAGGUCUCUGCAUGCACAAUGGUGUGGUGUUUGGCUCAUGAAAGUUCAGUGAUAUUUGCAGAAUUUUUUAUUGCUGUUACAGAUUGAUUAAUGCAGUAAAACAAGGUGGAAGCCCUGGACAUUCAUUUGCUUUAUAAUGCUUGUUUUUUAUUAAAAUAAAUAGCUGCUGGUAAUGCUCAUACUGUGUAGACUUGCACUGUGCAACUGUAGAUGUGGAGAGAAUGUGCUGGAAAGAUAUCCUCUUCCAGUAACACAGUGACAAACAGAGGGGAUAAAGGAAUAAGCAAAAGUGUAUCAUAACAAUCCAGUACAGUGUGUGCUGUGCUUGUUCUGAACUCAUACAUACAUGUUUAAUGAAUAAAAUGUCCAUUACCCAUAUCUAUUUGUACUAUUUACACAGUAAGUUACCCACAUGUAACAGUCUUCCUGUUUGUCCAGAAAGGUACACUGCUUUUUAAUACAGGAAGAACUCUAGCAACUUGGUGUAUAAUUGCUUUAACCACUCUGAAAUUGUUAUAUUUUUCCUAUGUAGUAGUCAUAUUUUUUGCAUAGCUGCUAAUGUUUAAAUAUUUGUUCUGUUCCUUACGUCUUAUUUUAUUUAAUUCGAUAACUUGUAAUCUUGGAUUUAUAACAUUCUUACUGUAUUAAAAGGACGUGGCUAUU